rnacentral:lncRNA from 1 species
UGCAGCGGGACUCCGUGCACUUUCGUUUCAAGCGAUGCGAUCGCAUUUAUGCAAAUUAGCAGAGUAUAGACGUAGUAGAAGAGGUGUUCCCAAAUUCCCAACAGACUACUAAAUUCCACACGGACGUAAGCAGUGAUUGGUCGUUAUCAUCUGAUUUUGACAUAGAUAGACAUAUGGAUUUUGAUGAAUUUUUGUGGUUAUGUAAGUAUAUUUUUUGUCUGUCUGAUUGACACUUUCUUGUUUCUUGUUUUUGAAAAAUUUGUUCAAUAAUGGAAAUAUGAAGACGUGGAAAGAUAUGCAGAAAGUUGAGACAAGUUAUGUAAGGUCUAGAACAGUUCACACAAAGAAACAAGAUGAUUUAUACUAUGAGUAUAGUUUUUAAUCAAUUUCAUGCUAUGAGUGUAACAGAAAUAACAUAAUAAUAUGCAAGGAGUAUAGAUGCUAGGAGAGUAUAUUAUAUUCAUUGAUGUGGAUAUAAGCCCAACUAUAAAAUAAUUAGGACAGAGAAACCUGUUCCAUUCAUUGUCCCUCCAGACUGAUUUGCAAACUGUGAGAUCAAGGACAGCUUUCUAUCAGUUAUGUAUUGGAAAACACAUGCUGGACAUGCUGAACCAUGCAUCUGUAAAAACUACAAGAAAAAAUGGUUGUAGAGAAAUUAAUGAGGUGCCACCCAAUAAAAUUUCAAGAGAUUCAAGAAUGUGAAGAUACAUGAGCAAUUUCAGGUAGGGAUCCUAUUAAAUUACAUAAUGUAACUUUAACACAGGUAUAUGAAAGUGAGUGUAAGGCAGUGGUCUCCAAUAAACACUGUACACGGCCUAAGGCAUCUAUUGGAUACCACCAGUUAAGUCGGUGGCUACUACAAAUUACUCUGUAAUUUGAAUUUGUUUUAGAAUUACUCUUUUCUGUAACUCUUUUCGGUUGUAAGAUAGUUUUCUGUCCUUCAAAGUUUAUUAAAAGAACGAAAAUGAACAAUUUUCCUACAGCGUGACAUACGCAGCCUACAACAUCUAUUGGAGACAACAGCCUUACACAUUGUUUUGUAGAGUUUGUAACAUUUUUUGUAUUCACUGUUACCAGUGCAACUGUAAAGUAUAUGAGCUGAAAAAUACCUUAUGAAUAAUACUAACUCUGUUUUAGAUGAUGCUGCAAGGUGUUUGGGAGAAAAUAAAAAGAGAAACUGAGUAAACAUUGAAUUUGAUAUUAAGAUAGUUUUUUAGCUCACAAAUGUUUUUUGUUUUGUAUCUGUAUUAAAUUUGUAUUAUACAGUAGGUACUUAGCACCCCAAUUAUCCGUGCUCCUCGUGACCGGAAGUGGCACGGAUAAUUGAAAAGCACAGAUGAUCCAAUCAUUAAUUUCUUAUACAGUGAGCACGUAAAGGUUGGAAUAAAUUCAUUUUCUCGAGAAUGGACGACUUUUGAAAAAAAUCCCAAAACAGGUCAAUUUUUAAUUUUAAAUUACGACUUUUUGGCAUAUAUAUAAUACUAGUGACGUCACCCAUCUGGGCGUGAUGACGUCAUUGAUGAUUUUUUUAAAUGAGACUAGUAGUCGUGUGAUAGCUCAUUUGAAAGGUAAUUCAAUUCUCUAUUCAGUAAUAUAAACAUUAACAUAAUUAUUUAUACAGGGUGUCCAAAAAAUUUUUUUUUGUAUUAAAUUUAUUGACAUAAAAAGAAGAAUGUAUGUAAUUUAUUUAUUUCAAAAUACAUUUUACUGCUCGCAGAAAACAAUAAAAAAUGUAUAUUUGAAAAAUAAUCAUUGCUUUUUGCUUAAAUUAAAUGUUCAAAUUGUCACGAGGCUGGUGGGUACCUGCUUUAAUAUUGAAUUUAAGCCAAAAACAAUAUUUAUUUGCCAAAAACACAUUUUUUCCUGUUUUAUGAUAGCAGUAAAAUGUAUUUUGAAUUAAAUAAAUUACACUCAUUCUUCUUUUUAUGUCAAUAAAUUUAAUUCAAAAAAAAUUUUUUUGGGCACCCUGUAUAAAUAAUUAUGUUAAUGUUUAUAUUACUGAAUAAAGAAUUGAAUUACCUUUCAAAUGAGCUAUCACACGACCCCUAUUCUCAUUAAAAAAAAACAUCGAUGACGUCAUCACGCCCAGAUGGGUGACGUAACUAGUAUGACAUAUAUGCCAAAAAGUCUUAAUUUAAAAAUAAAAAUUGACCUGUUUCGGGAUUUUUUCCCAAAAUCGUCCGUUCUUGAGAAAAUGAAUUUAUUCCAACCUUUACGUGCUCACUGUAUAUGAUUCAUAUAAGAAUAUUUCAUAAGAAUUUCUUAUGCAUGAUAUGUACUUACCUAUCAUAAAAAGAUAACAGAAAAAAUAAAUCUUUCAUUAUGAGUCUCCUUUUCUGCAUAUAGAGUUUCUGUCGAGUGAUUAAAGUGAUGCUAUUUUGAUAAAACCUUAAAAAUUCAAUUUGAGUAAUAGAAAAUCAUAGCACGGAUAAUCCGCAGCCCGGAUAAUCUGCACACGGAUCGGGGUUCUACUGUAGUUGUAUAGGCUAAUUUACAAGAAUGUUAGUUUGUUUUUAUAGAUUUUACUUGAUUCAUAAAUAUUGUGAAAUUUCUUAUAAGAUUAUAAUAUACGCAUACUUAAUUUAGGUCUGAAUUUUAAAGAAUUGUUAAGUAAUGAUGUUAUUUUAUAGACAACAUUAUAAUAUACUAGAGUUGUACUUUAAAAAUCAAAAUAUUACUGGGUCCCAGGCGGGGUUUAGAGGGGUUUUACCUUCGCCAUUGCACCAAUAAGAGCCUCCCCUCCUUUGAUUUCCGAGAUUUUUAAUAAAGAAUAAAAAAUUUUAAACAUUA